GCUGGCGGCGUGCUUCAUGCAUGCAAGUCGAACGAGAACCUCUUGAUAGGUAACUAUCGAGGGACUUCUAGUGGCGAACGGGUGAGUAACACGUGAGUAACCUGCCCCAAAGACCGGGAUAGCCCAUGGAAACGUGGAUUAAUACCGGAUACCCUCACGGAACCGCAUGGUUCUGUGAGGAAAUGCUCCGGCGCUUUGGGAUGGACUCGCGGCCUAUCAGCUAGUUGGUGAGGUAACGGCUCACCAAGGCACUGACGGGUAGCUGGUCUGAGAGGACGAACAGCCACACUGGGACUGAGACACGGCCCAGACUCCUACGGGAGGCAGCAGCAGGGAAUAUUGCACAAUGGGCGCAAGCCUGAUGCAGCGACGCCGCGUGAGGGAUGAAGGCUUUCGGGUCGUAAACCUCUUUCAGUGGGGAAGAAGCGCAAGUGACGGUACCCACACAAGAAGGCCCGGCCAACUACGUGCCAGCAGCCGCGGUAAUACGUAGGGGCCAAGCGUUAUCCGGAUUUAUUGGGCGUAAAGAGCUCGUAGGCGGUUUGGUAAGUCGGUCGUGAAA
rnacentral:rRNA from 1 species